rnacentral:rRNA from 1 species
GACGAACGCUGGCGGCGUGGAUUAGGCAUGCAAGUCGAACGGUAUCAUCCUUUCGGGGGUGAGAGAGUGGCGAACUGGUGAGUAACACGUAGGUUAUCUGCCCUCAAGACGGGGACAACCCAGGGAAACUUGGGCUAAUACCGGAUGUGAGCAACUUUUAGUUGUUUGAAAGGUGGCGUAAGCUGUCGCUUGGGGAUGAGCCUGCGUCCUAUUAGUUAGUUGGUGAGGUAACGGCUCACCUAGGCAAUGAUAGGUAGGCGGCCUUAACGGGUGGUCGCCCACACUGGGAUUGAGAUACGGCCCAGACUCCUACGGGAGGCAGCAGUCGAGAAUAGUCUACAAUGGUCGGAAGACUGAUAGUGCGACGCCGCGUGAACGAUGAAUCCCUUCGGGGUUAAAGUUCUUUUAUAUGUGAGCAGUGCUUCUUAUAUUAACAGUAUGGGGAAGAGAUAUUAGCAUAUGAAUAAGCAACGGCUAACUCCGUGCCAGCAGCCGAC